GACGUAUUUUUAUUUGUGCACAUGAAGAAUUAAAUAGAUUUAGAUUAGUUCCUGUAGAUCCCGGUAUUUAUGUAAGAUUUGUAUACUGCUUUAGUUUUUUUUGGUUGUCUUAGAAAAGCAUUGGUUAAAUCUACUUUUAGAACAAUCGUCCCUUUGGUUUUAUGUAGGCAAAGUCACAGUUUUUAGUUGAGCACUUAGCAUCCGCUGAGGACAUGCGGGCAGCUGCACAACAAACCUUCGGAGGAAAUACACCUGCUCAAACCAACGAUCGAGCGGGGAUAGUGAACAACGCCCAGCCCUUCUCCUUCACCGGAGCCGUGGGCACGGACAGCAAUGUGUGAUGCGGAAGGAAGGUGAUCAGGAUAUCGGGGAAUCGGAGAGCUGGGUGUGCCGUGAGAAAACAAGACUCAAAACGCAACAUUUGAAGGGCAAACCUAACCAAGAGAACAUCGGCAGGCAAUUUACAUAAUCAUGUGCAAUUUCUAAUUGUUCAAAUACCAACGCAAAUGGAUAACUAAAGUUUUUUAAUCCGAUUAGCUCUGAUCUCUUUCUAGAGCAAUCCAAAUAACACGAUCAGAAGUCCCCUAAAAAAAUCAUUAAAUUAAAAACCAUUUUUGUAUUAAAUGUAUGUAAAUGUAUAUUGGUUUUAUAAGCGUUUUGCGUUUUCUGUAUCCUAUUAAUUGUGUUGCCUGUGUCCCAUCAUUCCAAAAUAUUUGGUUUCAACUAAGUAGAAAUUGCAAAUAAAUUAUUGAACGACAUCACUAGCGAGGUGAAAAAAU
rnacentral:sRNA from 1 species